GUAUGAUGGCGUGGAGAAGUGGGUGGAUCUUUUUCACUCCCCCAAAAUAGGUGUCAAAUUGUGUAAGAUUGUCGAAAACAACUAUAUCCACACUUUUAAAACCAGCCCGUGGCAAGCUAUCAAUUGAGAACUGUUUAUUCAUGACAAGCUAUUAUGAGGAUCGAGAAGCCUGGAAACACAGUACUUGCGUGAUCCAAUAAUAUACAUAAGAAUCAAGCACCAGUGUGAGGGACACGUUAUUUGACCGCCAGGUAUGCUGUGACCUUCUAUAAACCAUGAGGUGUCCCUGGAAGCUCAUCUGCGGGUAUUGUAUCAAUGAGCUCCCUGGGAUCUACUGCCAGAUGGAAGAUUUUAUGUUCAAGAACAAAACUGCAGUCAGUUGUGAAGACCAUCUCUGGGAAAGUGUUGGUUCUCAGCAUCUAGUCUCU